rnacentral:rRNA from 1 species
CCUACGGGAGGCAGCAGUGGGGAAUAUUGGACAAUGGGGGCAACCCUGAUCCAGCAAUGCCGCGUGUGUGAAGAAGGUUUUCGGAUUGUAAAGCACUUUCGACGGGGACGAUGAUGACGGUACCCGUAGAAGAAGCCCCGGCUAACUUCGUGCCAGCAGCCGCGGUAAUA